rnacentral:rRNA from 1 species
UACGGGGGGAGCAAGCGUUGUUCGGAUUUACUGGGCGUAAAGGGCGCGUAGGCGGUCGUGACAAGUCACUUGUGAAAUCUCCGGGCUUAACUCGGAACGGUCAAGUGAUACUGUCGGACUAGAGUACAGAAGGGGCAACUGGAAUUCUCGGUGUAGCGGUGAAAUGUGUAGAUAUCGAGAGGAACACCUGCGGCGAAGGCGGGUUGCUGGGCUGAUACUGACGCUGAGGCGCGAAAGCCAGGGGAGCAAACGGG